rnacentral:lncRNA from 1 species
CAUGAUUAUUCUAUAUAGGAAGUUUUUGCAUUUAAAAUGAAUCAUUAGCUAUGUUCCUUUUAUUUUCAUUUCUUUUUUAUUUAAUCUCCAAACAUUCUGGAAUUUCACAAAUUAGGUUCUGGAAUGUUUAGCCCAGGGUUCAGUUUAGAUCUGUUGAAACAUAGAUUUUGACGAGUUAAGAUAUAUAAAUGAUUUUUCUUCCAAAGGAUGAGUGUUUGCGGUCUAGUAAUAUAUUUUUUAGACACAAACUACUUGAAAUCAGAUUGUUUGAGAAUGAGGAAGUACAGCACCAAGUGUUUCUGAGAGUCAGGGCAGCUCUGCUGUUCCCUCCCUCACCCAGCUCUGUGCCUCAAUGAUGACCCAGUCUAAGGAACAUCUGCUCUAAAUGUGUGAUAGCAUGGGACUGAACGUGUCUUGCUCCACAAAGAAAGCAAACAGUGUUGACAUUGGGAGUCUUGCCUGUGCUGGUAUGGAUAUAUUGUGAGAUGAUGAGAGGAGGAAAUAAUGAUCAUGCUCAAGUUCAAUGCUGGAAUUGCAGAGCUGUUUUAAAAAAAAGGAAGGAAAACAAACACACGCACACAACCUGGCAUAUUCUGUGGCUACUGCAAUCUUUGCUCCUUCUUUGAAAAGAUUCCCACCUUCACUGUUGCCCUGAUCUUUGCCAUGGUGGUGCUUCUCCUGAUCUGUAUAAACAGGAUAUUGGGUAAGUGGUAACUGGGAGGAAUAGGUAACAAGAGAGAUUCCAAAGCUACAUGUGGUGGGGAGGGCAGUGGUCUAUAGGAAAUCCGUUGAGAAGAUCCACUCCCUAACACCAUGUUCCUGCUUUGGUUCUGGAAAUUUCACCAUUGGCCUUUCGUUCUUUUUAGUUAAGUGGUCUUCUCAAGACUCCUCUUUGGGAGUGAGAGUCCACCACUGGGGGUUGUACUGUAUGUUUAUAAUGCCUUGGUAUGCUUUCCUU